GACGAACGCUGGCGGCGUGCUUAACACAUGCAAGUCGAACGGAAAGGCCCUGCUUUUGUGGGGUGCUCGAGUGGCGAACGGGUGAGUAACACGUGAGUAACCUGCCCUUGACUUUGGGAUAACUUCAGGAAACUGGGGCUAAUACCGGAUAGGAGCUCCUGCUGCAUGGUGGGGGUUGGUAAGUUUCGGCGGUUGGGGAUGGACUCGCGGCUUAUCAGCUUGUUGGUGGGGUAGUGGCUUACCAAGGCUUUGACGGUAGCCGGCCUGAGAGGGUGACCGGCCACAUUGGGACUGAGAUACGGCCCAGACUCCUACGGGAGGCAGCAGUGGGGAAUAUUGCACAAUGGGCGGAAGCCUGAUGCAGCAACGCCGCGUGCGGGAUGACGGCCUUCGGGUUGUAAACCGCUUUCGCCUGUGACGAAGCGUGAGUGACGGUAAUGGGUAAAGAAGCACCGGCUAACUACGUG
rnacentral:rRNA from 1 species